GACGAACGCUGGCGGCGUGCUUAACACAUGCAAGUCGAACGGAAAGGCCCUGCUUUUGUGGGGUGCUCGAGUGGCGAACGGGUGAGUAACACGUGAGUAACCUGCCCUUGACUUUGGGAUAACUUCAGGAAACUGGGGCUAAUACCGGAUAGGAUCUCCUGCUGCAUGGUGGGGGUUGGAAAGUUUCGGCGGUUGGGGAUGGACUCGCGGCUUAUCAGCUUGUUGGUGGGGUAGUGGCUUACCAAGGCUUUGACGGGUAGCCGGCCUGAGAGGGUGACCGGCCACAUUGGGACUGAGAGACGGCGCAGAAUCGUACGGGAGGCAGCGGUGGGGAAUAUUGCACAGUGGGCGGAAGCCUGAUGCAGCAACGCCGCGUGCGGGAUGACGGCCUUCGGGUUGUGAACCGCUUUCGCCGGUGACGAAGCGUGAGUGACGGUAAUGGGUAAAGAAGCACCGGCUAACUACGUG
rnacentral:rRNA from 1 species